GGGGAAUUGUAUAGAUGCAGUAAGUCUGACAAGACGAAUAAAAGAAUAAAGAAUCUUGUAAAUGAAAAGCCAUCAAUGGAUUUCUAAAUUCUACAAAUUUCUCAUGUGUGUGGCUAUUGGAUCAGGUACUUAAUCAACACAAGCCUGUUGCUUUUUCUGACAUAUUUUUGGACUUUAUGGUGAAUGUGCUAUUUGUUAUGUGAGAUGUUGUGCAACAGUUCUGCUACUCUGUGAUGCUCCAGAAAGCUGAAAUUUAAGAUUUGCCCAUGCUGAAUCACAUGACCUGUGGUCGGUAUCUAUCAACAAAGACCUGCCAGUUGCCACUUCAUCUGGAGGAAACCCAGAGCAGCCAAAAGGAAAUGCUUCCAUAGGGAGUAAAAGGAGAAGAGAUGAGCAGUAAGACCAAGCCAGGCUGGAAGGUGACUGACAGCAAGCUAUGCAUUGUUGAAGAAAAGAACAUGUGAAAAUCUACUUGAGUGUUGGCAUUUUGGGGGGCGUUUCAGGAGGGCCGAGCCAUAACAGAUGGAGCUGCUCCGUUGGCACCACAGGCAGGACUGGAAUUAUUAGAGGUGUCUGUCAUUGUGAAGAGCUCUUGAGCAAAUGAGCCUUCUGCAGGCUUUGGAGAUGGAUGUCAAAGGAACAAGUUUGUAUUUAGGAGAACAGGACUGGAUGACAUUUGAUUCUUUUGUUGAUACGGAAACAUUGCUAUUCAUCUGAGAACACCUUCAAAUGGAACCCAGCCUGCAACUUGGACUCUAAGCCUGAGCUACCCAGAGAUGUAAGAGACUGCCAAAGAUCCUAAGCCUGCACUAAUCAGCACAGAUGAUGGGUGAUUUCAGAGAUAAAACUCUCUUGGGAGUGACCAUGUCAGUGUGCUGCUGUUGUGAAUCAUCUUUAAAACCUUCUUCAUUGAGAGUGGAGGACAUGCCCUCAAUUAAGGGGUUUGGUGGUGGUGUGAUUCCCACUACAGGUGGUUUGCUUAAGCCAACACUGCUGUGUUCAGCAGGUUUGAACUGAAGAGAAAGUCUGCUGGAUUUCAAGAUACUGCCAUUAAAGGUAAUUCUGAAAUCCUUCCUCAAACAUAUACUGUCUUUAAAAUGCGUUAAGAACUGCUUCCCUGUGUUUUCUGUAAAGGGUUUUCUACAGGUUUUGAAAGUUGAGAAAAAUAUCACCAUCCCUUUCUUCCCAUUAACUUGUGUUUCAAAAAGGAUGGACAAUAAAUCCUUUCAAUCUUGCUGGAUAAGUAAUAUGAAAAGUUAUUUGACCUUCUGACAAAACAGAGUUGCUCAGUGUCCACUCACAAUAGUGUGUGUCUAGGCCAGUGAGGUUUCAGUCAGUGAUAGUUGUUGUGUCUUACAAGCAGGAGACAUUGUGAUUGAUGCUAACACAGAAAUCAAGAGAAGAAGAAAGGCACAGUUUGUGAUGACAGGGAACUUCCCAUUCUUGUGUUGUACCUCUUAGAACUUCUCAUAAUCAGAAGUUGCUUUAACCUUGUGAGCUACAAUCCAAUAGCUCUAAUUGUGUGUUUGACACAGAGCACACACAGCUAAGUCAGGUUGUGUUCUAAGACACUGAUGAGUGGCCCAGGUAUGUACAAGGGAGGAAAAAAAAAGCAUUUUUAUAUAUUUUAAUUAGGCAGAAUAAAAUCUGGCUUAGAAGAAUUUAGUCACCUGAACUGCCGUUGCUGUGAAUUACUGUACAAAAUUUAUGACUGUCCUUAGGGGCUAUAUUCUAAAUAAGCUGAUAAAAAAAGGAAACAAAACGUGAGCAUGCUUCCCGUGCAUCUCUCAUACCUAUCCAACCAGAAGCAAAGCUCUUGGAAAUGGAAAAAUCCCAAGGGUCAGAUUUUCAAAUGACCAAGAUCUCCCAGCAGUAACACACCUGUGAUUUGGUGAAAACUGAAAGACCAUCAGGGAGAAAAAAGAUCAGAAUGAUCCUUGGUUAUUAAGAAUACAUGAAAUUUGUGGUGUGUCUGUAUGUGUAACAGCUGAAGAAUAUUACAAUGCUGAAAACUCAUCAUUGUUGGUGAAUGCUUUCCUGGUAUUUUGGGAAGAGUCAGAGGUUAAAAAUCUUGAUCUUGAUCUGAAUUUCCCUAACUUUCAGAAAAAUCUUAUAGCUCCACUAUAUAUAUAUGUAUAUAUGUGUGUGUGUGUGUAUAUAUGCAUAUAUAAAAUUUAAAACUUUCAGCUCUAUUAUUUAAUUUGGGUUUAAAUUCUUAUAGUAUAUAUUCUCUGUGUGGCAAUUUUAGAUUUUGUUUAAAUAAAAUCAAAUCAAACCGUUUAUGAGGAAGGGAAAAGACAUCACCUAAAUUACUCUUUUGUAUUUUGUUUUGUAAGUGAACAGAAAUAAACAUGUAAAAAUAGCAUGUUUCAUUUUAAGGGGGAGAAAGAGGGAUGAAUCUAAUUUCCUCAGGAAGAAAAUGCUAGUUAUAUUACCAGACAUUCAAAUUAUGCACACUAAAAUAUUUUUAUACUAAUUCAACUUCUUAGCAGGAAAUCAUCUCUAUGAGUAGUUAAAGUGAACCUUCUUCAAUGGGCCAGAUGGGUUAACAUGACAAAACAGCACAAAUUGAAAAUGUGUUACUUAUAACUCAGCUCCCAAAAUGCUGGAAAUGACGAAAUUCUUGAGAAAAAAAAUUACUUAAUGUUUUUAAUUAUUGUAAUAAAGACUCGUUGUCCAAAGGUUAUUUGUAAUUGCUUUUGGUGAGUUUACUUUGUAUUUUCCCCCUUUAUUUGUUUUUAAAUUCCUUCAGAAAUGAGGCUAAAGACUUGUUCCAGUGAAGUGAAACUAAGCUAAUACAAAAGUUAAUGAAAUUAAUUAAGAGUUUUUGUUAUAAAUUCUAAAAGAAAAGUGCUUUGGAAAUAUUUUACACAUUUUCAGAGGAUUGUUGGAUGUUUCAAAAAUGCAAGAAGCUUAAUGAACUGACUCAAAAGAGGCAGUUAUUACAUACUUUCCACCUACAAAGGACUUUCUACACCAGAGAUUUUGGCAUUUGCUUAUUUCUUAAGAUUUAAGUGUUGUGCGGAUGUUCCAUGCCUGUUUUGAGGGUUUUUAGCUACUUUGCCUAGCAAAGGCAAAAAGAUUUGUUUCAGCAGUCACAGUGAAGGCAAUGGCCGAGGGACCACUUCUGAAAAAUAUACCUGAACUAAUUUGGUGUGUGAAGGUAAUAGAAUAAGAAUUAUAAUAUUGUAAAAGACUCUUUGUGACACACGUGUCUCUGAAGCCCCUGGAGGGACACUGACCCCAAAAGAAAUGGAACCAGCUCCACAGUAUGUUCCUGUGUGUCUCAUGGUGAACUUUGUGGCAUGAUUUCUUUCUGUGGAAGCUCAGAUAAGGGUGGGAGGCCCAGGGGUGCUGCUGACAAACAGAGGGACCUGUGAGAGCAGAGAUGCCCCCAGAGCUGCUGGGUGCAGCAGGAACUGCUGGGUCUCUCCAUGUGCAGAGGACGGGUCCAGAGGGUGUGUACAUCCCUCUCUGUGCUCUGUUCCUGCUGCAGCUCAGAGCCAGGGCUGGGU